AACUAGGGGGCGUAUUGCUUACUGAAUUCAAUCAAACUCCGAAUACCAUAAUUCAAGAGCUCAGGAGUGAGACUAUGGGAAUUAACUUCCAUUGUCAAAAGGGAAACAACCCAGACCACCAGCUAAGGUCCCUAAUUAUAACUAAGUGGGAAAGGAGGUGGAGAUUCAUAAACAACCAGGAGGUUGGCUUAGAAGCAGCCAUACCUUUAAAGAGUGCGUAAUAGCUCACUGGUCGAGAGUCUCUGCGCCGACAAUGUAACGGGGCUAAGUUAUAAACCGAAGCUGUGGAAUUGCGCAAGCAAUUGGUAGGAGAGCGUUCUGUAGGCCGUUGAAGGAGAACUGAUAAGGGACUCUGGAGGUAUCAGAAGUGAGAAUGCAGGAAUAAGUAGCGAGAAGGGAGGCGAGAAUCCUCCCCGCCGGAAGACCAAGGUUUUCAGGGUAAAGCUUGUCUUCCCUGAGUAAGCCGGGACCUAAGCCGAGGCUAAAGUGCGUAGGCGAAUGGAAAACAGAUUAAUAUUUCUGUGCCAGUUAUAUUUUGUGAUGGAGGGACGCAGAAGGGUAUGCACGCAGGAGAACGGAAGUUCCUGUGGAAGCGCGUAGAGUGAUCUAGUAGGCAAAUCCGCUAGAUUAGACUUGAGGCGUAAAGGAAAGGUGCAAAUCCCACGCUGCCGAGAAAAGCUUCUAACGUUAAGGUAUAACUGCCCGUACCCGAAACCGACACAGGUGGUCAGGAUGAGAAAUCUAAGGCGGACAGGCUAACUCUCGUUAAGGAACUCUGCAAAAUUGCCCCGUAACUUAGGGAGAAGGGGUGCCUCUGAAUGUUAGUAAACACGCGUUACAAAGCGUUUGGAGGUCGCAGUGAAGAGGCUCAAGCAACUGUUUAACAAAAACACAGGUCUAUGCUAAGCUGUAAGGCGAUGUAUAUGGGCUGACACCUGCCCAGUGCCGGAAGGUUAAGAGGAGGAGUGAGAGCUCCGAAUUGAAGCCCCGGUGAACGGCGGCCGUAACUAUAACGGUCCUAAGGUAGCGAAAUUCCUUGUCGGGUAAGUUCCGACCUGCACGAAUGGUGUAAUGAUUUGAGCGCUGUCUUGACGGGAGGCCUGGUGAAAUUGUAUUACCGGUGAAGAUACCGGUUACCUACAGUAGGACGGAAAGACCCCAUGGAGCUUUACUGUAGCUUGGUAUUGGGUUCUGGCAUUGCAUGUAUAGGAUAGUUGGGAAACUAUGAUGGUAUGGCGCUAGCUGUAUCGGAGUUGUCGGUGGAAUACCAACCAUUCAAUGUCGGAAUUCUAAUCUGUGGUUUGUAGCCACGGAAACAGUGCUAGGUGGGCAGUUUGACUGGGGCGGUCGCCUCCGAAAGAGUAACGGAGGCGUUCAAAGGUUCUCUCAGGUUGGAUGGAAAUCAACCGCAGAGUGCAAUGGCAUAAGAGAGCUUGACUGCAAGACUGACGGGUCGAGCAGGUGCGAAAGCAGGACAUAGUGAUCCGGCGAUUCCGAAUGGAAGGGUCGUCGCUCAACGGAUAAAAGCUACCCUGGGGAUAACAGGCUGAUCCUACCCGAGAGUCCAUAUCGACGGUAGGGUUUGGCACCUCGAUGUCGGCUCAUCGCAUCCUGGGGCUGGAGAAGGUCCCAAGGGUUGGGCUGUUCGCCCAUUAAAGCGGUACGUGAGCUGGGUUCAGAACGUCGUGAGACAGUUCGGUCCCUAUCCACUGUAGGCGUAAGAAUAUUGAGAAGAUCUGUCCUUAGUACGAGAGGACCGGGAUGGACAAACCUCUGAUGUACCAGUUGUCACGCCAGUGGCACAGCUGGGUAGUCACGUUUGGAACGGAUAACCGCUGAAAGCAUCUAAGCGGGAAACCAGCUUCAAGAUAAGUAUUCUUUAAGACUCCUUCGAGACUAGGAGGUUGAUAGGUUGGGGGUGUAAGAGUUGUGAGACUUUUAGCUGACCAAUACUAAUAAGUCGAAGUUUUAACCUA
rnacentral:rRNA from 1 species